UGUGAACUCGAAGAGUAGGGCGGGACACGUGGUAUCCUGUCUGAAUAUGGGGGGACCAUCCUCCAAGGCUAAAUACUCCUGACUGACCGAUAGUGAACCAGUACCGUGAGGGAAAGGCGAAAAGAACCCCGGCGAGGGGAGUGAAAAAGAACCUGAAACCGUGUACGUACAAGCAGUGGGAGCACCUUCGGGUGUGACUGCGUACCUUUUGUAUAAUGGGUCAGCGACUUAUAUUCUGUAGCAAGGUUAACCGUAUAGGGGAGCCGCAGGGAAACCGAGUCUUAACUGGGCGUUAAGUUGCAGGGUAUAGACCCGAAACCCGGUGAUCUAGCCAUGGGCAGGUUGAAGGUUGGGUAACACUAACUGGAGGACCGAACCGACUAAUGUUGAAAAAUUAGCGGAUGACUUGUGGCUGGGGGUGAAAGGCCAAUCAAACCGGGAGAUAGCUGGUUCUCCCCGAAAGCUAUUUAGGUAGCGCCUCGUGAAUUCAUCUUCGGGGGUAGAGCACUGUUUCGGCUAGGGGGUCAUCCCGACUUACCAACCCGAUGCAAACUACGAAUACCGAAGAAUGUUAUCACGGGAGACACACGGCGGGUGCUAACGUCCGUCGUGAAGAGGGAAACAACCCAGACCGCCAGCUAAGGUCCCAAAGUCAUGGUUAAGUGGGAAACGAUGUGGGAAGGCACAGACAGCCAGGAUGUUGGCUUAGAAGCAGCCAUCAUUUAAAGAAAGCGUAAUAGCUCACUGGUCGAGUCGGCCUGCGCGGAAGAUGUAACGGGGCUAAACCAUGCACCGAAGCUGCGGCAGCGACACUAUGUGUUGUUGGGUAGGGGAGCGUUCUGUAAGCCUGCGAAGGUGUGCUGUGAGGCAUGCUGGAGGUAUCAGAAGUGCGAAUGCUGACAUAAGUAACGAUAAAGCGGGUGAAAAGCCCGCUCGCCGGAAGACCAAGGGUUCCUGUCCAACGUUAAUCGGGGCAGGGUGAGUCGACCCCUAAGGCGAGGCCGAAAGGCGUAGUCGAUGGGAAACAGGUUAAUAUUCCUGUACUUGGUGUUACUGCGAAGGGGGGACGGAGAAGGCUAUGUUAGCCGGGCGACGGUUGUCCCGGUUUAAGCAUGUAGGCUGGUUGUCCAGGCAAAUCCGGAUAAUCAAGGCUGAGGUGUGAUGACGAGGCACUACGGUGCUGAAGUAACAAAUGCCCUGCUUCCAGGAAAAGCCUCUAAGCAUCAGGUAACAUCAAAUCGUACCCCAAACCGACACAGGUGGUCAGGUAGAGAAUACCAAGGCGCUUGAGAGAACUCGGGUGAAGGAACUAGGCAAAAUGGUGCCGUAACUUCGGGAGAAGGCACGCUGGUGUGUAGGUGAAGUCCCUGCGGAUGGAGCUGAGACCAGUCGAAGAUACCAGCUGGCUGCAACUGUUUAUUAAAAACACAGCACUGUGCAAACACGAAAGUGGACGUAUACGGUGUGACGCCUGCCCGGUGCCGGAAGGUUAAUUGAUGGGGUUAUCCGUAAGGAGAAGCUCUUGAUCGAAGCCCCGGUAAACGGCGGCCGUAACUAUAACGGUCCUAAGGUAGCGAAAUUCCUUGUCGGGUAAGUUCCGACCUGCACGAAUGGCGUAAUGAUGGCCAGGCUGUCUCCACCCGAGACUCAGUGAAAUUGAACUCGCUGUGAAGAUGCAGUGUACCCGCGGCAAGACGGAAAGACCCCGUGAACCUUUACUAUAGCUUGACACUGAACAUUGAGCCUUGAUGUGUAGGAUAGGUGGGAGGCUUUGAAGCGUGGACGCCAGUCUGCGUGGAGCCAACCUUGAAAUACCACCCUUUAAUGUUUGAUGUUCUAACGUUGGCCCCUUACCGGGGUUGCGGACAGUGUCUGGUGGGUAGUUUGACUGGGGCGGUCUCCUCCCAAAGCGUAACGGAGGAGCACGAAGGUUAGCUAAUCCUGGUCGGACAUCAGGAGGUUAGUGCAAUGGCAUAAGCUAGCUUGACUGCGAGCGUGACGGCGCGAGCAGGUGCGAAAGCAGGUCAUAGUGAUCCGGUGGUUCUGAAUGGAAGGGCCAUCGCUCAACGGAUAAAAGGUACUCCGGGGAUAACAGGCUGAUACCGCCCAAGAGUUCAUAUCGACGGCGGUGUUUGGCACCUCGAUGUCGGCUCAUCACAUCCUGGGGCUGAAGUAGGUCCCAAGGGUAUGGCUGUUCGCCAUUUAAAGUGGUACGCGAGCUGGGUUUAGAACGUCGUGAGACAGUUCGGUCCCUAUCUGCCGUGGGCGCUGGAGAAUUGAGGGGGGCUGCUCCUAGUACGAGAGGACCGGAGUGGACGCAUCACUGGUGUUCGGGUUGUCAUGCCAAUGGCACUGCCCGGUAGCUAAAUGCGGAAGAGAUAAGUGCUGAAAGCAUCUAAGCACGAAACUUGCCCCGAGAUGAGUUCUCCCUGAGACUUUAAGUCUCCUGAAGGAACGUUAAAGACGAUGACGUUGAUAGGCCGGGUGUGUAAGCGCAGCGAUGCGUUGAGCUAACCGGUACUAAUGAACCGUGAGGCUUAACCUUACAACGCCGAAG
rnacentral:rRNA from 2 species